UUAGGGCACCCAUUUGGCCAGUAGCGGACCUGAUUCUGCCUUAACAUUACACUUGUCACAAACGGAUGGAAAAAUUCUGGAAACAGACGUCUCAAACAGGUUUGAUGAAGUUUUACAUCCUGUAUCAGUGAUUUUGCAUACAGAAUGACAUCAUCCCUGCCUCACUCUAUUGCUGUGGUGCCUGGUUUGUGGACUUUACACUCUUUGUUGUAAGGAUAAUGUUUUUGCCAUGAUGUCUGAAAAUGUUUCAUCUUCAUUAAUUUAAAUAAAUAAAUAUAUAUAAUAAAAUAAAAUUGUGAAUUCCUGACUGUAUAUGAACUCAACUGAUAACAACCUGCUCGCAAAAUAAUAAUAAUAACAACUCACUCAAAAAACACACUCAAAAAAAGUUGGACAAAGGCAUGUUUACCACUGUGUUACAUCACCCUUCCUUUUAAUUACACUUUUUAAUCGUUUGGGAAAUGAGGAUAAUAACUGUUGCAGUUUUGCAAGUGGAAUUUUAGCCGAUUCUUGCUUGAUACAAGACUUCAGCUGCUCAACAGUUCUUAGUCGCCAUUGUCUGAUUCUCCUCUUCAUGAUGCACCAUAGGAGACAGAUCUGGACUGCUGGCAGGCCGCUCAAGCACACGCACUCCGUGUCUACGAAGCCAUGCUAUUGUAGCACAUGCAGAAUGAGGCCUGGCAUUGUCUUGAUAAAGUAACCAUGGACUUCCUGGGAAAAGACGUUGUCUUGAUGGCAGCAUGUGUCUCUCUACAACCCCUCAUAUAUACGCCUCAGUGUCAAUGAGAACUCGACAUCCGUUUUUCCCGAAAACAAGCUGAAACAUGGACUCAUCUGACCACAGCACACCUUUCCACUGCCUUUCAGUCCAUCUGAGAUGAGCUCAGGCCCAGAGAACUCGGCGGCGUUUCUGCAUAGAGUUGAUGUAUGGCUUCCUCCUUGUGUAAAAGAGUUUCAGGUUGCAUUUCUGGAUGCAGCAGCUGACUGCGUUAAGUGACAACGGUUUUCCGAAGUACUCCCGAACCCAUGUGGUUAUAUUUAUCACAGUAGCAUGAUGAUCUUUCAGGCAAAGCCGCCUGAGGGCUCGAAGAUCAUACACAUUCAACAGUGGUUUCGGCCUUCCCCUUUAAGCAAUGAGAUUUCCCCAUUUUCUCUGAAUCGUUUCACAAUAUUAUGGACUGUAGAUGGUGAAAGAUCUAAAUACUUUGCAAUCUUGUGUUGAGCAAUGUUCUUUUUGAACUGACUGACAAUUCUCGCACGAAGCUUGGAACAAAUUGGUGAGCCAAGACCCAUCCUUGAUAGCAAAGACCAAGCUUUUGGUGGAUGCUCCUUUUUUGACCCAAACCUGAUCCUCCAAAAUGGUUUUAUUUGAAUAUUCUAUAAACUUUUCAGUCUUAUUUUGCCUUUGUCCCAACUUUUUUUGAGUGUGUUGAAGGCAUCAAAUUCUAAAUUUGUUUAAAUUUACAAAAUACAAUUAAGUUGUUCAGUGAAAACAUUCAUUAUCUUUUCUUUGUACGUUUGUCAGUUAAUUAAAGUUUCAAGAGACUUGACAAAUCACGGAUUUUUAAUGCGUUUUAGAAAAAAUCCCAACUUUUAUGGAAAUGGGGAUAAUAUAUGAAUAAAUAUUAAUACUGCAUAUAACAAGUAAAUUGAGUCAUGGAAAGAGUGAUGAGAGAUCUUCAAAAAUAAAAAAUGAGACAGUGGUUGUUGUGGUUUCCUGAUAAUCACACUAUAUAACAGAGAGACACUCAGGCAGUGUGAGUGUGUGUGUGUUGUCACUUUGAGGGACUGGUGUGUGUGCAGAAGAAUCAGUAAUGAUGAAGUGCUUGUAUCUUUUGUCUGCUGUGUUUCACGUCGCUGCAGGUGAGUGAAGUUAUUUUCUAUUUUCUAUUACAGAAAGGAGAGAGAAUAUUAUCCAGUUCUUAGUUCAGCUGCUUUGUGUUUAGUUCAUGUGGUUUCUGUCCAGACUGGGUUUACAGUAGGCCGUAGUUCAGCCCUGUUCCUGAACAACCAAAUUGUCCAAAGACAGCAGUAAUCUUUAUACACAAGGUAAACAUACACGUCAUGCCUUGUGUUAUAAUCUCCUUAUUUAGACCUGUUCAGCUUUGAUCA